UAGUCCACGCCGUAAACGAUGUCAACUAGCCGUUAGGAGCAUAUAAGCUCUGAGUGGCGCAGCUAACGCGAUAAGUUGACCGCCUGGGGAGUGCGCCGGCAACGGUAAAACUCAAAUGAAUUGACGGGGGCCCGCACAAGCGGUGGAGCAUGUGGUUUAAUUCGAUGCAACGCGAAGAACCUUACCAUCCCUUGACAUCCAGAGAACUUUCUAGAGAUAGAUUGGUGCCUUCGGGAACUCUGAGACAGGUGCUGCAUGGCUGUCGUCAGCUCGUGUUGUGAAAUGUUGGGUUAAGUCCCGCAACGAGCGCAACCCUUGUCCUUAUUUGCCAGCACUUCGGGUGGGAACUUUAAGGAGACUGCCGGUGAUAAACCGGAGGAAGGUGGGGACGACGUCAAGUCAUCAUGGCCCUUACGGGAUGGGCUACACACGUGCUACAAUGGCAGGUACAGAGUGCAGCGAACUCGCGAGAGUAAGCGAAUCACUUAAAGCUUGUCGUAGUCC
rnacentral:rRNA from 1 species